rnacentral:lncRNA from 1 species
ACACAAGUAACGUAACCUACCGAGCACUCUAAGGUGAGUUCACUACAUUCGAGCAUGCGUCCCAGUGGUUGGGGACAGUCAAUGGGUCGUUAGGUACUUGAAAAACAGGAACUUGCUGGCUGGAGGGCGAGAGUGGUCAUGGUUGCAUUGAUGGAUUUAUUUAUGAGACAUUUAUUUGCUAUGAUUGUUUGGAUAACAUUUAUUUUAUGAUACAUUAACGCUUUCG